CCUGCUGAAUUUUAGCAUAUCAAUUAGUGGAUUAAAAGAAAUUAAGCUGCAUUUGCGGGCGAGUAAAGAUGGAAGAGCACAACACUGAGGAUUGCGGAAGUUUUGCUGCUAAUCAUAGUGGAGUUUGGGUCGGCUCGCGGAACAUCACUUCACUCGAAGUCCAGCAUUGAGUAUGGCAUCACUGGAUUUAGCCCAUAGAUGGUAAGAGGCCUAUACGGGUGGAGGUUCAGAAAUGUGCCAUGGUUCAUCAGCUGGCCUCAGAGUCGAGUUUUUGAGAUCGCAGCCCAAAGAGGGUGGUAAACUCCAUCCAAGGCUAAAUACUGCCACGAGUCCGAUAGCGAACAAGUACCAUGAGGGAAAGUUGAAAAGUACUCUGAAGAGAGAGUAAACAGUACGUGAAGCCGCAUGCAGGUAAACGGGUGGCGUCUACUGUGCUGAGAGGUCGGAUUGAUACUUGGAGGUCCACUGAUCUACCUGGGGGGUUGUGUGUAAUCGGUGUGCGUUUGUGUAUGCCGGAGCAUGCCGCUCGUCUAUUGGACUACCUUUUGAGGAAAUAUUUUUUGGUCAUGGCACCGGGCCUUCUCAUGCCUACCUAACUCACUCGAUCGAAAUAGGCUGACCCCCAACUGCGCAG
rnacentral:ncRNA from 1 species